UACGGGGGGGGCAAGCGUUGUUCGGAAUUACUGGGCGUAAAGGGUGCGUAGGUGGCGCCGUAAGUCAGGUGUGAAAUCUCGGGGCUCAACCCCGAAACUGCACUUGAUACUGCGGUGCUCGAGUACUGGACAGGAGAUUGGAAUUUACGGUGUAGCAGUGAAAUGCGUAGAUAUCGUAAGGAAGACCAGUGGCGAAGGCGAAUCUCUGGACAGUUACUGACACUGAGGCACGAAGGCCAGGGGAGCAAACGGG
rnacentral:rRNA from 1 species